GGUUUCUCUGUGUAGCCCUGGCUGUCCUGGCACUCACUCUGGAGACCAGGCUGGCCUCCAACUCAUAGAUAUCUACCUGCCUCUGCCUCCCGAGUGCUGGGAUUAAAGGCAUGCGCCACCAACACCCG
rnacentral:miRNA from 1 species